rnacentral:rRNA from 1 species
UCCUACGGGAGGCAGCAGUCGGGAAUAUUGCGCAAUGGAGGAAACUCUGACGCAGUGACGCCGCGUGCAGGAAGAAGGUUUUCGGAUUGUAAACUGCUUUAGACAGGGAAGAAAAAAGACGGUACCUGACUAAGAAGCCCCGGCUAACUACGUGCCAGCAGCCGCGGUAAUACGUAGGGGGCAAGCGUUAUCCGGAUUUACUGGGUGUAAAGGGAGCGUAGACGGCGCGGCAAGUC